rnacentral:miRNA from 1 species
GGAGAAUCGCUUGAACCAGGGAGUUGGAGGUUGCAGUGAGCUGAGAUCACGCCACUGCACUCCAGCCUGGGCAACAGAGUGAGACUUUGUCU